rnacentral:rRNA from 1 species
UACAGAGGUCUCAAGCGUUGUUCGGAUUCAUUGGGCGUAAAGGGUGCGUAGGCGGCGCGGUAAGUCGGGUGUGAAAUCUUGGAGCUUAACUCCGAAACUGCAUUCGAUACUGCCGUGCUUGAGGACUGGAGAGGAGACUGGAAUUUACGGUGUAAGCGGUGAAAUGCGUAGAUAAUCGUAAGGAAGACCAGUGGCGAAGGCGGGUCUCUGGACAGUUCCUGACGCUGAGGCACGAAGGUCAGGGGAGCAAACGGG